rnacentral:tRNA from 1 species
UGUCUCAGUGGUAAAGAAUCUGCCUGCCAAUGCAGAAGACCCAGGUUCGAUCCCUGG